rnacentral:rRNA from 1 species
UACGUAGGGCGCAAGCGUUGUCCGGAAUUAUUGGGCGUAAAGAGCUCGUAGGCGGCCUGUUACGUCUGCUGUGAAAUCCCGGGGCUUAACCCCGGGCGUGCAGUGGAUACGGGCAGGCUGGAGGCAGGCAGGGGAGAACGGAAUUCCCGGUGUAGCGGUGAAAUGCGCAGAUAUCGGGAGGAACACCGGUGGCGAAGGCGGUUCUCUGGGCCUGUACUGACGCUGAGGAGCGAAAGCGUGGGGAGCGAACAGA